UACCAGCACCCCGAGUGGUCGGGACGUUUAUUGGGCCUAAAGCAUCCGUAGCCGGUUCUACAAGUCUUCCGUUAAAUCCACCUGCUUAACAGAUGGGCUGCGGAAGAUACUAUAGAGCUAGGAGGCGGGAGAGGCAAGCGGUACUCGAUGGGUAGGGGUAAAAUCCGUUGAUCCAUUGAAGACCACCAGUGGCGAAGGCGGCUUGCCAGAACGCGCUCGACGGUGAGGGAUGAAAACUGGGGGAGCAAACCGG
rnacentral:rRNA from 1 species